rnacentral:rRNA from 1 species
GAGCCAAUCCCGAGAAGCCGAUCGUAGUCCGGAUUGGAGUCUGCAACUCGACUCCAUGAAGUCGGAAUCGCUAGUAAUCGCUUUUUUUCAUAACGCGGUGAAUACGUUCCCGGGUCUUGUACACUCCCCCCGUCUCUCCAUGGGAGUGGGUUUCACCAGUAGUAGGUAGUCUAACCGCAAGGAGGGCGCUACCAUCGGUAGAUCAU